GCCCUGGUAGUAUAGUGGUAUCAUACAUCCUUCGGGCUCAAACCCAGGCUGAAAAGCGGUCUAUGCAUGGAUGUGACCCGCGUUCGAUUCGCGGCUAGGGCC